UCCCCGGUAGCUCAAUGGUAGAGCAACCGGCUGUUAACCGGUUGGCUGGUGGUUCGAAUCCGCCCCGGGGAGCCA
rnacentral:tRNA from 1 species